rnacentral:rRNA from 1 species
AUUGAACGCUGGCGGCAGGCCUAACACAUGCAAGUCGAGCGGGGUUUUCGGACCUAGCGGCGGACGGGUGAGUAAUGCGUAGGAAGCUACCCGACAGAGGGGGAUACCAGUUGGAAACGACUGUUAAUACCGCAUAAUGUCUACGGACCAAAGUGUGGGACCUUCGGGCCACAUGCUGUCGGAUGCGCCUACGUGGGAUUAGCUAGUUGGUGGGGUAAUGGCUCACCAAGGCGACGAUCCCUAGCUGGUCUGAGAGGAUGAUCAGCCACACUGGAACUGAGACACGGUCCAGACUCCUACGGGAGGCAGCAGUGGGGAAUAUUGGACAAUGGGCGCAAGCCUGAUCCAGCCAUGCCGCGUGUGUGAAGAAGGCCUCGGUUGUAAG